rnacentral:rRNA from 1 species
UGGGGAAUAUUGCACAAUGGGGGAGCCCUGAUGCAGCGACGCCGCGUGAGCGAAGAAGUAUUUCGGUAUGUAAAGCUCUAUCAGCAGGGAAGAAAAUGACGGUACCUGACUAAGAAGCCUCGGCUAACUACGUGCCAGCAGCCGCGGUAAUACGUAGGUCCCGAGCGUUGUCCGGAUUUAUUGGGCGUAAAGCGAGCGCAGGUGGUUUAUUAAGUCUGGUGUAAAAGGCAGUGGCUCAACCAUUGUAUGCAUUGGAAACUGGUAGACUUGAGUGCAGGAGAGGAGAGUGGAAUUCCAUGUGUAGCGGUGAAAUGCGUAGAUAUAUGGAAGAACACCAGUGGCGAAAGCGGCUCUCUGGUCUGUAACUGACGCUGAGGUUCGAAAGCGUGGGUAGCAAACAGGAUUAGAUACCC